CUCCUGAUCCAGCGCUCCACUGGCCACUGCUCCCGAGUCCCCGACGCCCCAAAUCCCCCGAUCCGGCGAUCCCCUCCACCCGCCUCUCCCCAGCUCGGCAGUCCCAAUCCGGUGAUCCCACACCCUAGCCGGAGGCAUCGGCCGGCGCGCGCGAUGCCCACCGCCGCCUUCGCCCCCGCCUCCGCGUCGCCGCCUCCGUGGUCUACUCGUCCGCCUCCUCGCCGCGCCCGCGUCCGUCUUCCUCCGCCGAGGAGCGGGAGCAGCAGCGAUGGGGGCCGGGGCGACGAGCCCACGACGGCCACCCCGUGGGUGAGCCCCGACUGGCUCACGUCGCUCUCGCGCGCGGUCGGCCGCGGCGGCGCCGACGACUCGGGGAUCCCCGUCGCGUCCGCCAAGCUCGACGACGUGCGGGACCUCCUCGGCGGCGCGCUCUUCCUGCCGCUCUUCAAGUGGUUCCGCGAGGAAGGGCCCGUGUACCGCCUCGCCGCGGGGCCGCGGGACUUCGUCAUAGUCAGCGACCCCGCCAUCGCCAAGCACGUGCUUCGCGGGUAUGGGUCGCGCUACGAGAAGGGGCUCGUCGCCGAGGUCUCCGAGUUUCUCUUCGGGUCCGGGUUCGCCACCGCGGAGGGCGCGCUAUGGACGGUGAGACGCAGAGCUGUUGUGCCAUCCCUGCACAAAAGAUUUCUUUCUAUUAUGGUGGAAAAGGUAUUUUGUAAAUGUGCCGAGAGAUUAAUAGAGAAACUUGAGCCAUAUGCUUCGAGUGGGGAACCUGUCAAUAUGGAAGCGAGGUUUUCUCAGUUGACAUUGGACGUGAUUGGUUUAUCAUUGUUCAACUACAAUUUUGAUUCCCUCACAACAGAUAGUCCUGUCAUCGAUGCUGUUUAUACUGCACUCAAAGAAACAGAACUUCGUUCUACGGAUCUUUUACCAUACUGGAAGAUUGACUUUCUGUGCAAAAUAAUUCCAAGACAGAUAAAAGCAGAGAAUGCAGUUAAGAUCAUAAGGAACACUGUCGAAGAGUUAAUUGUGAAGUGUAAAGAAAUUGUUGAGGCUGAAAAUGAACAGAUUGAGGGUGAGGAAUAUGUAAAUGAGGGGGAUCCUAGCAUUCUACGCUUCCUGCUUGCUAGCCGAGAUGAGGUAAGCAGUGUACAGUUACGUGAUGAUCUCCUAUCAAUGUUAGUUGCUGGUCAUGAAACAACAGGCUCUGUACUGACAUGGACAAUCUAUCUUCUCAGUAAGGAACCGACUGCACUAAGGAGAGCUCAAGAUGAGGUAGAUCGUGUUCUGCAAGGUCGACUCCCCAGAUAUGAGGAUGUAAAGGAGCUAAAGUACUUGAUGCGCUGUAUAAAUGAGUCUAUGAGGCUAUAUCCACACCCUCCUGUGCUGAUACGGCGUGCAAUAGUUGAUGACGUGCUUCCAGGGAACUAUAAGGUUAAGGCUGGUCAAGAUAUUAUGAUAUCCGUGUACAAUAUACACAGGUCCCCUGAGGUAUGGGAUAGAGCAGAUGAGUUUGUUCCAGAGAGAUUUGAUCUAGAGGGACCCGUUCCAAAUGAGUCGAAUACUGAUUUCAGGUUUAUCCCGUUCAGUGGGGGCCCUCGGAAAUGUGUUGGAGAUCAAUUUGCUCUCCUAGAAGCAAUAGUGGCACUUGCAAUUGUGUUGCAGAAGAUGGAUAUUCAGCUUGUGCCAAAUCAAAAGAUAAACAUGACCACUGGAGCUACAAUUCAUACAACCAAUGGACUGUACAUGAAUGUAAGCAUGCGUAAAGUUCAGCAAGAAGCUGAGUUAGCACUAAGGUUAUAAGAGCAUCUCCAGCAGCCCCCCAUUCCCAAUAAACUUCUACUAUUGGAAAAAGAAUAUGCUCCAGCAGUUCCUCAAUACAUCUCCCUUUCCCCAAUUUACAUGUAUUUCAAUUUUGCCCUUAUGCCUAAAUUGAAAUACAUGUAAAUUGAAAUACUUUGCUGCGCUGGCCGGUGGCUUGCCGCGCGGGUCGAUGCCGGCCGCGGCGCACCUGCCACCGGCCUUCCCGCGCCGGUCGACGGCCUUGCCACGCCAGUCGACGAGUGCUGCAGCGCGCCGGCACCUCCCGCCUCGAUGGCGAGCGACGCGGAGCCAAGGGGCUGCUGCCCUAACUGCAGCGCGCAGACGACCUUCAGAAGCACGAACGCCCCUCGUCGCCUACUACUGUGAGCAUGUUGGACGAUGCUGGCGCAUGGUUCCGGCGAGACGCUGAAGCUAGACGAUGCUGCUAGCGUGCUGCUGCCGCCGGACAAGAUAACAAAUUCCCAGAAGCAAAGUAUUUUAUCUACGACAGAAUCAAGCGAAGGCUCUCAGUUUCAUCUUCAACGGAAUCAAGCAUCAUGUGGCCAGCAUAAACACAAAUGAGCUCAUCUCUUCUCUAUCUCUACUACUAAAAAGAACGAUUGGGAGAAAAAACUUUGGUGCGACCCUGACCCACUAACUGCCGUGGCUCUGCCAUGCAAUGUAUUGCAUCCGUCGGAUCGAAACAGCCCUCCGUGCGAUCCCAGCGGCCAGCGGCACCUUCCCAAUCGCACGCCAUCCUCACGAGGGCACGAUCCCACCCACUCCCACGACGCACGCAAUCUCCGCGCGUGAAGCUCGCUUCCCCGCGAUCUCGUCACGCUGCCCUCCGCGCUCCCAUCGCGCUGCCUGCCGGAGUCCUCGUCAGCGCCGCCGCCACCGAUCCGGACGACCGCGCCACACGCCCAGCUCCGUCCCCGGCCGCCGUCCGCGCCACCGCUCCCCAUCCCCGUCCACAGUACGCAACGGCCGCUGCGCCGCCACCGGCGUUGGCGAUCCGCGCCGCCGGCCACUCCGUCCCCGUCCACCGUACGCGACGGCCGCUGCGCCGCCCCCGGCUCCGCCGAACCGCGCCGCCGGCAACUCCGCUGCUGCGACCCCCCCCCCCCUCCCCACGUCGCGGCGCCGCUGUCGCCGGCGAUCCGUCCCCGGACGCUGGCCGAUCCGCACCGCCGCCGGAGGCCGAGGGCGCGGGCUUCAACUUCACCAACGUUCUCAACCUCGACGUCUACUGACUCCAACAUCCACUACAAGAGACGGAUGGCCGUACUAUGCGUAAAAACUUCAUCAUCAAUGUGUUGGUGUCAGAAUUGAAUGCUUACCGGAAAGUACUUCUACAGACAUAAAAAAUUAUCUUAGUGGCAUCAUAGGUAGGGAUAUAAAAUAGAAUCCCUUAUACAUUUUCUUGCAUAUUUAGUUGGCCUUGGACAUCAAUAUGUUACCUUUUUGCGAGACCAAAUUUGUACUUGAAUGGAUACAUAAGUGUGGAUGACGUGUAAUGACUUUCUUAUAUUGAAUAUUUACGUGCGAUCUAUUUGCGCUUUU